rnacentral:rRNA from 1 species
UACGUAGGUCCCGAGCGUUGUCCGGAUUUAUUGGGCGUAAAGCGAGCGCAGGUGGUUUAAUAAGUCUGAUGUAAAAGGCAGUGGCUCAACCAUUGUGUGCAUUGGAAACUGUUAGACUUGAGUGCAGUAGAGGAGAGUGGAAUUCCAUGUGUAGCGGUGAAAUGCGUAGAUAUAUGGAGGAACACCGGUGGCGAAGGCGGCCUUCUGGCCUUAACCUGACGCUGAGGAGCGAAAGCUAGGGGAGCAAACGGG